rfam:Lepisosteus oculatus linkage group LG2, whole genome shotgun sequence.
ACCAGCAGCUAUGUCACCCUUCAACUCACAACUGGCAGCCCACUGAAGCAAAGCAGGUGUGAGCCUGGUCAGUACCUGGAUGGGGGACCUCCUGGGAAAGCAAAGGUUGCUGCUGGAA